UCCUAUGAGAAUAAGUGUAAGUAUCCU
rnacentral:piRNA from 1 species